rfam:Triticum urartu cultivar G1812 contig498973, whole genome shotgun sequence.
UUUCUACUCCCUCCAUCCGAAAAUACAUGUCAGAGAAAUGGAUAAAAAUGGAUGUAUCUAGAACUAAAAUAUGUCUAGAUACAUCAAUUUCUCCGACAAGUAUUUCUUGACGGCGGGAGUGUUAU